rnacentral:tRNA from 1 species
UGUAGUCGGGCUGGAAGUGGGUCCAGAACUCCUUGAAGGAGGUCCAGUUGGCUGGCCCGGCGUUCGAUCCGUCGGUGUACUU